CAGAUGUUGCGGACAGUAUGAGGUGAGCGCAGGGGGAUGGGGACCAGCAGCUGUCGCCGCCACUCUCAGGGUGAAGAGGGAACAGAAAUCUUUGCUCCCUGACUUUGGAAAUCUCGUUUAACCUUCAAACUGGCGAUGUCAAGGGUUCCAAGUCCUCCACCUCCGGCAGAAAUGUCAAGUGGCCCCGUAGCUGAGAGUUGGUGCUACACACAGAUCAAGGUAGUGAAAUUCUCCUACAUGUGGACCAUCAAUAACUUUAGCUUUUGCCAGGAAGAAAUGGGUGAAGUCAUUAAAAGUUCUGCCUUUUCAUCAGGAGCCAAUGAUAAACUGAAAUGGUGUUUGCGAGUAAACCCCAAAGGGCUAGAUGAAGAAAGCAAAGAUUACCUGUCACUUUACCUGUUACUGGUCAGCUGUCCAAAGAGUGAAGUUCGGGCAAAAUUCAAAUUCUCCAUCCUGAAUGCCAAGGGAGAAGAAACCAAAGCUAUGGAGAGUCAACGGGCAUAUAGGUUUGUGCAAGGCAAAGACUGGGGAUUCAAGAAAUUCAUCCGUAGAGAUUUUCUUUUGGAUGACGCCAACGGGCUUCUCCCUGGUGACAAGCUUACCCUCUUCUGCUAGGUGACUGUUGUGCAAGAUUCUGUCAACAUUUCUGACCAGAAUACCAUGAACAUGGUAAAGGUUCCUGAGUGCCGGUUGGCAGAUGAGUCAGGAGGACUGUGGGAGAAUUCCCGGUUCACAGACUGCUGCUUGUGUGUUGCUGGCCGGGAAUUCCAGGCUCACAAAGCUAUCUUAGCAGCUCGUUCUCCGGUUUUUAGUGCCAUGUUUGAACAUGAAAUGGAAGAGAGCAAAAAGAAUCGAGUGGAAAUCAAUGAUGUGGAGCCUGAAGUUUUUAAGGAAAUGAUGUGCUUCAUAUACACGGGGAAGGCUCCAAACCUCGACAAAAUGGCUGAUGAUUUGUUGGCAGCUGCUGACAAGUAUGCCCUGGAGCGUUUAAAGGUCAUGUGUGAGGAUACCCUCUGCAGUAACCUGUCCGUGGAGAAUGCUGCAGAAAUUCUCAUCCUGGCUGACCUUCACAGCGCAGAUCAGUUGAAAACUCAGGCAGUGGAUUUCAUCAACUAUCAUGCUUCGGAUGUCUUGGAGACCUCUGGGUGGAAAUCAAUGGUGGUGUCACAUCCCCAGUUGGUGGCUGAGGCAUACCGCUCUCUGGCUUCAGCACAGCGCCCUUUUCUGGGACCCCCACGCAAACGCCUGAAGCAAUCCUAAGAUCCUGCUUGCUGUAAGACUCCGUUUAAUUUCCAGAAGCAGCAGCCACUGUUGCUGCCACUGACCACCAGGUAGACAGCGCAAUCUGUGGAGCUUUUACUCUGUUGUGAGGGGAAGAGACUGCAUUGUGGCCCCAGACUUUUAAAACAGCACUAAAUAACUUGGGGGAAACGGGGGGAGGGAAGGGCCCAGGACUCGGGGCUAUUCAACCUAAUGAAAACCCUGUUGCUGCGUCACUGUGUUCCCUUUGGCCUGGCCGAGUUUGAUACUGUGGGGAUUCAGUUUAGGUGCUGGCCUGAGGACAUCCCAGCGGUGGUACUUCGGAGAAACCUGUCUGCAUCUGACUGAGCAGAAUAAAUCGUCAGGUGCCUGGAGCAAAAAGGAAAAAAAAAAGAAAGGACAUUGAGUUUUAACAGAAGGGAAAAGGAAAGAAGAAAAGAUUUUUGCAGAAUUUCUCAAAAAUCAGUUUGUGGAUUCCAGUAGUAUUUAUAUUGAGAGAAACAAAUUUUAGUCCUUCCAGCUGUGCUAAAACUUGGAUAUUUGUGAAAACUCACCACCAUACAAGCAUUAGAAGAGCUCUCUUGUCGUUAGCACUUACUGUUUGCAAGAACAGAAUGCAUCCUUUUAUCCUUUUAUGAAAAAUGACAAGUGAAGGCAAAAGGGGAAGGUUAUUUGAUCUGGAAGAUGAGUGUUCUGAUGUGGUGGCUUUUGCAAAAAUCUUUAUUGGUGUUGAAAACUGGAAAAAAUAACUCAUCCAGAAUUCAUACUGUCUUGACAAGAACUAUGGUUCUCUGUUUUUAGAUAUUGUGGAAAAUGUUUUUGGGCAUUUUUCUCUGAUUUUAUUUCUUCUCCCCCACCCCUUUUUCUAAAAAACAAACACACACACA